ACUGCCCCCUGGCGGCCGGCGCCGCGCGGCGAGGCUCGGGGGCGAGAGCCGCGGGAGAAGGUUUCGUGGAUUGCCCGAGACGUGUUUUAGGCUUUUCAGUUAGAAAACGCACCCCGGAAACUGGACUUCCAGUACGAUGUUGAAAAGCAGUCAUGAGCGGGGAAGGAUGGGAACAAGCUGUGAGUAGUGCUGGGGUUCUACAGCCCCGAGUGGCAAGAGAACCCCUACCCCUUCCAGUGCAUCAUCGAUGACCCCACCAAGCAGACCAAGUUCAAGGGCAAGAAGAGCUACAUCUCCUACACGCUGGUUUCCACGCAUCCUUUCCUCAGUUGUGUACAAUCUGCUAAUAUUUCUCCAGUAUUCACUGUGAGAACCUGGUAGGGAUCCAAGAGGUAAAACUCACACAAGUGUGGGACCCCCUGAUGACUGGGUCUCCCUGGAGUUUGUAACUCUCAGAGUUGUCCACACUAAGCCUCCAGCAAUUCCUGAAUUACAGUUCGAGUUUUCCUACCCCGGCACUGGUUCAUGCGGAGUUUUCUACUCUGUCUGGAUUCCUCUUCCCCAAGAGAUCCACCAUGCUGCACCUUCACUCCAUUCAGAGUCACCGUGGCUCCUCCAUCCCUCCCUUCUCCUCCUGCCUUGGAGAACCGGAAAGUAAGAUGGAGGGAGCCUGGGCCGCUGGGUCACCAACCCCAACUGGAUUUUUUUUUUUUUUUGGCGGGGGGUACACCAAGUUCAAUCAUCUGUUUUUAUACACAUAUCCCCAUAUUCCCUCCCUCCCUCAA